rnacentral:rRNA from 1 species
UGGGGAAUAUUGGACAAUGGGCGAAAGCCUGAUCCAGCCAUGCCGCGUGUGUGAAGAAGGUCUUCGGAUUGUAAAGCACUUUAAGUUGGGAGGAAGGGCAUUAACCUAAUACGUUAGUGUUUUGACGUUACCGACAGAAUAAGCACCGGCUAACUCUGUGCCAGCAGCCGCGGUAAUACAGAGGGUGCAAGCGUUAAUCGGAAUUACUGGGCGUAAAGCGCGCGUAGGUUGUUUGUUAAGUUGGAUGUGAAAUCCCCGGGCUCAACCUGGGAACUGCAUUCAAAACUGACUGACUAGAGUAUGGUAGAGGGUGGUGGAAUUUCCUGUGUAGCGGUGAAAUGCGUAGAUAUAGGAAGGAACACCAGUGGCGAAGGCGACCACCUGGACUAAUACUGACACUGAGGUGCGAAAGCGUGGGGAGCAAACA